CAGUAGCCGCGGGAAUACGUAGGCAGCGAGCGUUGUUCGGAAUUACUGGGCGUAAGGAGUGUGUAGGCGGUGCUAUAAGUUCGGUGUGAAAUCUCCCGGCUCAACUGGGAGGGUGCGCCGAAAACUGUAGUGCUCGAACGUGGGAGAGGAAAGCGGAAUUCCUGGUGUAGCGGUGAAAUGCGUAGAUAUCAGGAGGAACACCUGCGGUGUAGACGGCUUUCUGGACCAUUGUUGACGCUGAGACACGAAAGCGUGGGUAGCAAACAGGAUUAGAUACCCCUGUAGUCCCUGUCUCUUAUAC
rnacentral:rRNA from 1 species